AUUGAACGCUGGCGGCAGGCCUAACACAUGCAAGUCGAGCGGGGUUUUCGGAUCUAGCGGCGGACGGGUGAGUAAUGCGUAGGAAGCUGCCCGAUAGAGGGGGAUACCAGUUGGAAACGACUGUUAAUACCGCAUAAUGUCUACGGACCAAAGUGUGGGACCUUCGGGCCACAUGCUAUCGGAUGCGCCUACGUGGGAUU
rnacentral:rRNA from 1 species